rnacentral:rRNA from 1 species
UACGGGGGGUGCAAGCGUUGUUCGGAUUUAUUGGGCGUAAAGCGCGUGUAGGCGGUUUGUUAAGUCUGAUGUGAAAGCCCUGGGCUCAACCCAGGAAGUGCAUUGGAUACUGGCAGACUUGAAUAAGGGAGAGGGUAGUGGAGUUCCUGGUGUAGGAGUGAAAUCCGUAGAUAUCAGGAGGAACACCGGUGGCGAAGGCGGCUACCUGGACCGAUAUUGACGCUGAGACGCGAAAGCGUGGGUAGCAAACAGG